CCCUCUAGAGGAGAGGACAAAAGGUGACUAGAGGUUCAGUCCCUGGGAGAGCUGAAGCCCGCUGGGCGGCAGGCAGGAAGGAAAGCUUUCGUCCUGCAGAAUGAGCUUUUGGUAAAGGAGAAAAAAAGAGACGCAAAGAAACUGAGAAUCUAAGCAGCAUCAAAGGACCCAUUAACACAAGAGACAAUCAACUGACAUUCAAACAACACAAGGAAGGCUUUCAUGGAGAUGUUUGUGGCUAUGGGAGGCCUCCAAGGAUUCAAUAAUGAUGAAAACAAAACAAAAACCAUGAACAGGGAGGAAAA